GGAGACUUCAGCGCAUCUAAAGGGUCCUCUACUGAAUAUAUUCAAAGUGACAUCACCUUCACUCCUAGCUGUUUGCUUCUAAUCAGAGAGGUAACAAACUAUAGAGGAAAGAUGUAUAUACUAAAUGACAAGGAGAUGAAUGCUGAAGUUUCCAUGUGCAUUCAAGUGUUUGGUGUUUCUACUCUUCUUCCAUUUGAGAAGACCAUAUAUAUGAUAUUGCUGCCAUUAUAAUGACAUUCUUCAACAAGGAAGAUGCGUCUUUUUAUGGGCAUUGGCACCAUUUACAGGAUCCACAUUUAUGCAAGUCUGUUCUGUAUUUCAUUUAAAUAAAGCCUCCAUAAAAGCUUUGAUCAUUAAUUAUUUAUCCAGCUAGAUUCUUUUACCUUCCCUUUCCUUCUCUUCCCUUCCCUUCCCCUCUUUUCUUCAUUUGAAAACAGUUCC
rnacentral:lncRNA from 1 species